rnacentral:rRNA from 1 species
AUUGAACGCUGGCGGCAGGCCUAACACAUGCAAGUCGAGCGGAGCGGCCGACGGGUGAGUAAUGACUAGGAAUCUGCCUGGUAGUGGGGGAUAACGUCCGGACACGGGCGGUAGUACCGAAUACUAUCAGAUGAGCCUAGGUCGGAUUAGCUAGUGGGUGGGGUAAAGGCCUACCAAGGCGACGAUCCGUCACUUGUCUGAGAGGAUGCUCAGUCACACUGGAACUGAGAAACGGUCCAGAUUCCUACGGGAGGGAGCAGUGGGUAAUAUUGGACAAUGGGCGAAAGCCUGAUCCAGCCAUGCCGCGUGUGUGAAGAAGGUCUUCGGAUUGUAAAGCACUUUAAGUUGGGAGGCGUUACCAGCAGAAUAAGCACCGGCUAACUUCGUGCCAGCAGCCGCGGUAAUAC